rnacentral:rRNA from 1 species
CCUACGGGCGGCUUCAGUGAGGAAUAUUGGUCAAUGGACGAGAGUCUGAACCAGCCAAGUAGCGUGAAGGAUGACUGCCCUAUGGGUUGUAAACUUCUUUUAUAUGGGAAUAAAAUGUUCCACGUGUGGGAUUUUGUAUGUACCAUAUGAAUAAGGAUCGGCUAACUCCGUGCCAGCAGCCGCGGUAAUACGGAGGAUCCGAGCGUUAUCCGGAUUUAUUGGGUUUAAAGGGAGCGUAGGUGGAUUGUUAAGUCAGUUGUGAAAGUUUGCGGCUCAACCGUAAAAUUGCAGUUGAAACUGGCAGUCGUGAGUACAGUAGAGGUGGGCGGAAUUCGUGGUGUAGCGGUGAAAUGCUUAGAUAUCACGAAGAACUCCGAUUGCGAAGGCAGCUCACUGGACUGCAACUGACACUGAGGCUCGAAAGUGUGGGUAUCAAACAGGAUUAGAUACCCGAGUAGUC